GGGGAUUUAGCUCAGUGGUAGAGCGCUUGCCUAGCAAGCGCAAGGCCCUGGGUCCGGUCCCCAGCUCCAAAAAAAAGAAGAAAAAAAUAGAGCACUGACUGCUCUUCCAGAGGUCCUGAGUUCAAUUCCCAGAAACCACA
rnacentral:tRNA from 1 species